CAAAUUUGAGAAAACUCCCAACUCAUAUUUCAUAUAAUUUGAAGAAGUCAUUUUAUCUUCUCUCGUGAAAAUCAUUGAGUUGCAUAGAGUUGCAGAAUUGGAAAUAUUUUUCCAAAUGAAAUUCAAAUGUUUUCAGCACCCCUUGUCAUUUAAAUAAAUGGAAGAAGUCAUGUCAUCUUCUCUCCAGGGUUUCAUGGUGAAAAGAAUUUGAAUUCACGGAGAUCAGAAAGCAAAUAUGAAAGUUUGGGAAAGUCCUUUUAUUCCCUCUUGUUUAACUUUCAAAAAGAAUUCGAAUUUCACUCAAUUUCACGCAAUCAAUCAAACAAUCAAUCAAUCUAUCUAUUUGUUUAUAACAUUCGAAAAUUUAGAAUUUUGGGAUGUUACAAACCUACCACCCUUAAAAGGAAUCUCGUCCUCGAGAUUCGGAGAGGCUAGCCAGAAAAGGUUAGGGUUUGGGGGUCUCCUCAAAAUCCAUCAAUCGUCUCCGGGGUCUGGGGUGCUACCACCCUUAGAAGCAUGGUUAUGGUUCCAUCAAAACUCAUAUACUUCAUCCAUAUUCUUGACAGUGUCGGUCUUCUCAGAUCCUCGAGAAAAUUACUUCUCCGAGCUCUUCCGGUAGUGGCAUAACCUUUUCCUCAAUUCUUCUGUCUUUCAUCUAGGUAAGGUUCUUCCGAGACUGGGUCUUCUUAGCUGACGGGUCUGGCGCCAAAACUAAACAACUAUCGAUAUCUCAUGGUGGUCAACAAUUUAUGGUUUCUUCUGCAGGAAAUGGGUCUGGGUGAUCCUCACCGUAUAACCUACGGUUGGCAACAACUGCCGUGUACAAGGGAAAAUUACGUAUACCAUUCUAAGGUUUAACAAGGUUUAAUAUCGUCGUCUCUCUACUAUAGGUAAGUCACUCAGAUUUACCAUUCCAUAUAGCAAGGCGAAUAAUAAGAGUAAGUCGGUAUGGUGAUCAAUCCAUCCCGCACCCAAAUCAUUACCAUGUAUACAGUUUAGCGAAUCUCGCAUUCUAACACUCGGUCAUCCUCACAAGCAUUGCAGAAUUUCUCUCGUCGACGAACCAAGUUCGGAAUAAUCCAUUGAUUUCUGCAAGCCAAACAAACAUCUAUCGUUCCUUCACAACUCUCAGGUUUUGCGUAAACUGCUAUAAGAUCGUCUAUCGAUAAAAUCGUAACUUCCUCCAGGGUUUUUCCUUCAGCAAGAAUGUGCUUGCUUCUUGGAAGGUCUUGUGGCCUGUGGGUUAUGGCAUAUCUCAUCACUUGCAAACCUUGAACUUAUCAUUGGGCAACUUAUCAUUAUUCCAACUUCCAACUUCCUAGUAUUCUUAAAUCCAUCCAAUUGUAUUGUCUUCCUUCCUUCUAUUGGCACCUAACUAGGACAUGUUUACUCAGACUCAUCAUGGAGUUUCCAUUGAUCCAUAUUUCCAACAUCAUACCUCCUUUAUAUCCAAUAGUACUUCAUCUCUUCAUUUUCGUGGGAUAUCCCUCAUAUCGAGAUAAAAUGAAUUCCAUAUUCACUUCAUGGAACAUCAUUAUCCUUUUCAGGGUCAAGUGUCCUUACAUGGGAAUAUUGGCCAUCUCUGCAUGGCACUUCUUCAACUGGGAAACAUGAAACACAUCUUGAACUCCUGACAGUCCUUCGGGUAACUCCAACUUGUUGGCCACUUCUCUCAUACGCUCCAAAACUCGGUAUGGUCCUACAAAUCUCGGGGCUAACUUUACCUUAACUCCAAUUCGUUUAACUCCUUGCAGAGGGAACACAUGAGGACAUGCUCUGCCUCCAAUUUCAUAGACUACCUCCUUGAGUUUUUGAGUCUACAUAACUCUUCUGCCUGGACUGAGCUACCUUCAGUCUAUCUCGAAUCAACUUAACAUUCUCUUCCGACUCCUUUGGUCCAACAAUUGUCGGUCUCCAACUUAAUCCCACAUACUCUUGGGGCAUCACACAUAUCGAGACAAAACUCGUAUUCAUUUUGUCCGAAAUCCAUUACAGGGUACUACCACCCUUAAAAUGCACAAAUCUUCCAUAGACCAUAUUUCUCUUAUCCUCAGAAUGGCCAAAAUUCUCCUUCAUAGAGUAUCAACUCAUAAAAUCCAUAUCAGUACCAACGAUGCUACUUUAUUGAUUCUCAAAUUAUUACAAUCUCCUGUUUUUCCAUUACAUGCCUCAACUCGACACCUCAAUAUAAAGGAAAAUGUCCUCACUACUACGGCUAUAUUUCUUCUGUUACAAACUCAACUACUUAUCACAAGUCUCCUUCUCCUUCGGACAUUCUCUGGCAAAGUGCCCUGCUCCAUUACAACUAAAACAUAUUACUUCUGACAAGUCUCGAGGUUUUCUUGUGAUUAUAUAGCCUCCUUGGGUUCUUGGCUUCCUUUUUGGGCAACUGUGGAGGUAGUGCCCUGACUCCUUGCACCUAUAACAUGUGAUAUGACUUAGGUCCUUCCUGGAAUCCAAUCGGUUUCUCUUUCUGGACCUUUCCAUACCAAUCAUGGCUUCUAUUUCCUGUGGGUCAUAUUCUACUUCCUCUGUCGGGAAUUCUACUAGAUCCCCAUUCAUGCAAUUCUGGGAGAUGUGACCUUCUUCUCCGCAUGAAUAGCAUGACUUGGUGCAGGGUUUAAUUGGCUCUUCUUUGGGUGUGUCCUCCACAUCUUCCUUCAUCACAGGUUCUUCUAAACAUUCCAUAAGGGCUCCUUUCAUUACUUCGUUCUUCCGCUAGAUGGUUCGUUGUACCAUGGGGUAAAUGUGACACUGAGCAGGGUAGUGGGUAGUCCCUUCACACAAGAAACAAGUGAUCUGCCUAGUUGGGCAUUCUUCAGCUGGGUGACUUCCUUCACAAUUAGGGCAUUCAUCCUUGUGUUCUUUAUGGUUGUGUCCGAUUUCUCCACAAAUCUUGCAUGCACAAGGUUUCUUCAUGUCUUUUCCAUAAGGCUUCAACUUCUGGAACACAAACUGUGACUUUAGCAAAGUCAACUUAAAUUCUUUCCAAGUGGUUACUCCUUGCCAUCCGUUGAUGGUUUGGUACAUCCUCCACCAAGUAGCAGCACCUCUUUCAAAGCAUUGAAGAGCAUACUGGGCCAUAUCCUUUCCGACUAUAGGUUUGUUCUCCAUAUGAUCCUCCAUGUUCUGAAUCCAUCGGUCUGUCUCCAAUUGACUCAUCAGUCCAGAAAAUACAAGCUCAUCUCCAUUCAUCAUCUAUUGGGUCCAUGGGUUUGGGGUGAGAUAAGAGAGAUCAAGAGGGAUGCACACAAUGCAAACAACAGUUUUGAAAAGACAGAUUUUUGUUGUGGCUGUCGAAAAACAUCAAACAAAUGACAGCUCACAAACGCCGCAUAUAACGCAGGUAUAUAAUAGGGGUUUGGUCGUCUAAGGUCAACGUCGCCAAACUCUUCAAGUCUUGUUCAUGCCUCCAAUGGCUUCUUCCGAUCAUGCUUGUCUUUCUCAAGUUCUUUCGCCAGAUCAAUCUCUGUUGACGCGAAGUCUCUCGUGACAUCCUUGAAUAUUCUGGAGUUGCAUUUCAAACUUCCGGGUUUCAACAUCCUUGGCAUGAACCAUGAUCAGACUGUCCUUCAGUUCCUGACGAAUCUCCGGUAUCUAGAGGUUUUGCUCCUCUAGCUUGGCUACUUCAGUUUCUUGCACCUAAAUUCUUCACAAAAUGCUUCCCUGUCAAAAUACGGCUUCUUGGAGCUCCAUCUUAAAAUUUCUUGAUGCUCCAGAUUCUGGCGAUACACCAGCUAAGGUUAAAACUUCAUCUUACUGUUAGGUGCUCCAUCAACCUUCUACCAUCCAAUCCAUUCUGAAGACUUGCAUCCUUAACUCAGCACGGUGACAAUAGCAUUAGCGGGUGAUGACAUCACGGAUAACCGUGUUUCUGCCCUUGUCAUUUCCCAUGAGCUAUCUUGCAUAGUUGACAUCUCCUGCCUUAGGGUUUUCUUGCCAAAACUUUGAGUUCUCAACUCUCCAUGUUUCAGUCUUUCUCCGAUACACCUUGAUCUCGGGCAUUGACAACUUCCAUAGUUUGCCAAGUUCCAAAAGGGUAGCCUUCCUAUGUCAUACAAAUCUAGGGAUUUUUAAAAGCCUUCAAAUUCUACUUGUCUUAGGUCCUCAACCAUUGUAGUUUCCAUUAACAUAAUGUAUGGUAAAAUCCUCUUCAUUCCGAAUGGUCUUACUAGUCUGAUAUCAUGUACUUCUUGGAGUGGUCUCAUUAGUCGAAUCUUCGCGUGGUCAAAAGGGGAAAGGGGUAUGGUCACACUAAAGAGAAUUUUUUUUGAAUAAGCUCAGAAGAGAAGAGAGGUAAAAGGUCUUUUUGAAAGGGGAAAGUUGUAGAGAAAAUCUUUGCUAUGGGCUUGCCAGUUUCUAGGGUCACGUCCUACAGUCAACAUGUGCUCUGAUACCAUCUUGUAGCAACCCGACCCGAAUGGAUCAAGUCUCUGUGCUUACGUGUCAUCCCUGGAUCAGUAUGCUGACACAUACAGUACUCGAAGGAUUUAUAACAGAGGUAAAUCACAUGUAUACAGUAACGUAAAUACUAUUACCUCAAUCCACAUAGCGGAAGCAACAAGGUUGUGGAUUCCCAUUAACACCAACGGCAAAGUUGAGUGUAGAAGUCGUAACCCUAACGUAUCACUUACUCAUCAUAAGAAACCUGCAACAUAAGACGUUGCAGCCCGAAACGGGUCAGUACAUUAAAUGUACUGGCAAAUUCACACCAUAGAGAAAAAUGAUGAACAAUGGCUAUCACUAUAUGCAUAUAUGGCUGGUGGAAAAGCUCUAUGGUUAUAAGGUUUUUGCGUAAAGCCAAUUUUUUCCUACUGCAAAGGAAUAAAUUUAUUUAACUAUCAUGGUGGUUGUGAAACAUCGAGAAUGGUUGACAGCAUUCUCAAUCCCAAUUAAAAGUAAUUAAACCCCAACAACAUUAAUUAGAAGUAACGUGAUGAGAUUCACAUGAUAUUCAAGUACUAGAUACUCAAGUUGUCCAUAACCGGGGACACGGCUAAUCAUGAUUAGUUUAUACACUCUGCAGAGGUUUGCGCACUUUUCCCCACAUGACUCAAUCGCCUCUGCUUGUUUUCUCGCACUACAUGGUGUUUGAGAAACGGAUGACCGAGACAUAGUCUUUCAGAAGCGCUAGCACCUUACAUGUGGGGUAGACCGGUACACCUACUUCCCCUACAUCUGCUAGUCCACCCCGUAAGAGUUCGCACAACUUAGUCAACUAUGCCAAAGCCCAUAGUAGCAUGUGGCUGCACACGGAAGUUUCUAGCAUGAAUUAUCUUAUGAUCCCUUUGAGCCUAGGUGGCGGUCCGAAAAAAACAGGCAAGUCCUGAUAGACAUCAGGUGCCUCAAUCCACCCAGAUGUGUGUUUAAGUUGCCACCUUAGAUAAACCAUUAAAAUUAUCAAUCUCACAUCUGUCAUGGAUAUCACUCACCCAAUCCACGUCUACUAGCAUAGCAUGGCAUAAUAAGCAAACAUAGAGUAACUCCCAAAGGUUUCAUAAUUAUACAUGUAAUAGGUACUACCUCAUCUACUUCCCAUCCCACAAUUUAAUUAGAUCCUAAUCAUGCAAUGUGAGAGGAUUGAUCUAAUGCAAUAAAACUGGGUUGUAGAAAAGGUAUGAUCAAAGUGUGAACUUGCCUGCAAUGUUGAUGAAGAUGAUUCGCACUCAAAACUCUUGAUAGAUCUACUCGUCACACUCCGGUCGAUCUAUCGUAAGCAAGCAAUAGUAACCUCACAAUAAGUACUCAUCUAAUGCACAAGUAAAACUCGAACAAGAGAACGAACCAGAUAGUUCAACUUAAGAACUCCGGUUGCAAAGAAAGAACGAACCGAACAAAGAAACGGAAAACAAACGGCGGAAGAAAAAACUCGGUUCUAGCAAGUUGAAACUAGGUCAAAAUUUUACAGUAGCAAAAACUUGUUCAAGUUGAUUAGACGGAACGGCGGUUUCGAGACGAAACUCCAGGCGCUUGAAUCACCUGAUUCCGAUAAACGGGCGAGAAGAUAAACUAGAACGAAGAUCGGAUCUGAGAUCGCGAUCGCGGAAUAAAUCCGACGAAAAGAAAAGACGAACGGUUAAACGGACGGGCGUCGUUAACCGGGAAUAAUCGGUGAUCACGUUCAUUGAGAUGAACGGUCCGAAAGAAGAACGAAAACUAAUCUAGGGUUUCGGAAAAAGAGAUCGAAACAAAAAACCGAUCUAGAACACCGGAACGGUUUAGCGAAAAACCGGAAAGAAAACGAAUCAGUAGAGAAGAAAAGAAUCGGAACGGUUUAUAAGAAAAACCGACCCGAGGGAAAGAAGAGGCGCGGCGCGGUACCUCCGGCGAACGGCGGCGACGGCGGCGUUGGGUGGCGGCGGCGGUGACGCAGGGCGCGGGCGGCGGCUUAGGGCGGCGGCGGGUGAGGCGCGACGCGGGUGAGAGGCGCGGGGUGGGGCGCGGCUUGGAGAGGAGAGAGGGGCUUGGGAUUUUGUGUGGGGAGAGGGGGGUGUAGGGGUAUUUAUAUUGGUGAGGGGUGAGGAGACUUGGGGUAGGGGACAAGAAAUAGACUAAGAAUAGGAAAGAAUAAACGGAGUAGGACUAAAGAAAACGAAACAAGGAAAGGGGAGGGGCUAACCCUUAGUCCAAACCGGACUAGAGGUGAGGCAAGAGGUGGCGGCGCUGGCGCCUGCCUUGCGCCUGGCGCACGGCGGCUGGGGGCGGUGGCCUUUGGCCUGGCUGGGCCUUGGCCUGGCUGGCUUGCUCCAGUUUUUUUUAACAGAUUUCGCGCGCAGAAAAAAAAGAAAAACUAAACUAAAAGGGCUCCAAAAUUCUAAAAGUAAAAUUUCCCCGACUCCUAAAAAUGAGCCGAACAAAAUGAACUUUUCUCCGGACCUAAAAUGCAAUUUUCGAAAACGCGCAUUUUUCCCUAUCCAAAUAAAAUGCAAACAAACACCGGAAAACAAAAUUUGAUCUAUUUAUUAAAUCUUCAUUUUUCCUAAAUUUCGGGAAAGUCAUAUUAUUCCCGCUCUCUUAUUUUGACAUCGGAAAAAUUAUUGAAGAUGGAAUAAAUAAAUCAAAUGAUCCUCUAUUCAAAUUUGAGAAAACUCCCAACUCAUAUUUCAUAUAAUUUGAAGAAGUCAUUUUAUCUUCUCUCGUGAAAAUCAUUGAGUUGCAUAGAGUUGCAGAAUUGGAAAUAUUUUUCCAAAUGAAAUUCAAAUGUUUUCAGCACCCCUUUUCAUUUAAAUAAAUGGAAGAAGUCAUGUCAUCUUCUCUCCAAGGUUUCGUGGUGAAAAGAAUUUGAAUUCACGG
rnacentral:lncRNA from 1 species